rnacentral:rRNA from 1 species
UCCGGUGGUUAAUCGUGGAGGUUCCACCCGUUCCCAUCCCGAACACGGAAGUUAAGCUCCAUAGAGCUGAUGGUACUGCACUUUAGGAGUGUGGGAGAGUAAGUUGCCGCCGGAU